UCCGAUAUGGUGUAGUGGCUAACAUCGCUCGCUCUCAAUAAAUAUUGAACCGAGCAGCCCUGGGUUCGAUUCCCAGUAUCGGAG
rnacentral:tRNA from 1 species